ACGUUUCUCAAUCGGCAAACAAACUUAAAAAGUAUGUUUAGUGCUUUAUCUGUAAAAUAAUGCCAAAAUGAAGAGAUUUUAGAUGAUACGCCAAAGAGAAAAUGAUGUCUGAAGUUCAGUAAGUUUUGCUUAUAUGGUUAUAAAUAUGGCGUCAAUUUUAAAGCAUCAUUGAUAUUUGUACUUUAAUUGACAAUUUUUAACUAUUAUUUUAUGUUUCUCAACCGGCAGAUGCAUUUAAAAAGGUAGCUAACUCUAUAAACUAGAGAAUAAAGCUAAAACAAAGUAAUUUUGAGAGGAACGCCAAAAAGAUUUUAGGU
rnacentral:lncRNA from 1 species